AUUGAACGCUGGCGGCAGGCUUAACACAUGCAAGUCGAGCGAGCGGCGGACGGGUGAGUAAUGUCUGGGAAACUGCCUGCUGGAGGGGGAUAACUACUGGAAACGGUAGCUAAUACCGCAUACCAUCAGAUGCGCCCAGAUGGGAUUAGCUAGUAGGUGGGGUAAUGGUUAACUUAGGCGACGAUCCCUAGCUGGUUUGAGAGGAUGACCGGCCACCCUGGGACGUGGACACGGUCCAGACUCCUACGGGAGGCAGCAGUGGGGAAUAUGGCACAAUGGGCGAAAGCCGUAUGCAGCCAUGCCGCGUGUGUGAAGAAGGCCUUCGUGUUGUAAAGCACUUUCAGCGAGGAGGCGGUACUCGCAGAAGAAGCACCGGCUAACUUCGUGCCAGCAGCCGCGGUAAUAC
rnacentral:rRNA from 1 species